GGGAAGGUAGCUCAGUGGUAGAGCGCUUGCCUCCCAUGCAUGAGGUCCUGGGUUCGAUUCCUCAGCACCA
rnacentral:tRNA from 1 species